GUCCAGCAUAGAAGCACACAAUAGGGCAAAGUGUGGUGGUCCCAGAACAGUGAAUCCAGCCAGGCUUUUAGUCCCAGCAACUGUGACCAAGAGCAUCAGAGGAUCUGCCUAUCCAGAAGAAGGAAAGAAGGGACAAAAUCAUCUAGAGCUUUUAGCUUCUAUCUCACACUCUGAAGCACUGCUCAAACGCCAAUGAAGGCAAGUGCAUUUCUGCCAUCAGAAGGGAAAACAGCAAAGGGCGAGGAGGGAGUGAUGGAAGAAGUGGUGUAUUAACAAGAUCUGAUGGUGCACAGCAAUGAACAACACGAAGACUGGUGAGGCAGAGCUUUCCAGAGGACCCGGAAGGCACAAGGUCUAGGCUGCUGCCUAGGAUCCCAUGAUUCCAGGUCCGCUCCAACCUCUGGGGUGCAUGUUUUAUUGCUGCCUGUCCAGGGGUCCUCUUCAUUUUCUCCUCUUCCAAUGACUUCAUUCUCUGUGCCAGUGAAAGCC
ensembl:processed_transcript Gm12707 predicted gene 12707